rnacentral:RNase_P_RNA from 1 species
GGUAUUUAAGUUAAUCGCUUGAAAUAUAGAGGAAAGUCCGAACUUCAUAGAGCAAAAAGGCAUCUAACGGAUGCUAGGAGUAAUCCUAAGGAAAGUGCCACAGAAAACAAACCGCAGGGAACUGUAAGGGUGAAACAGUGAGGUAAGAGCUCACUAUGAGUUUAGGGGACUAAAUUCAUCGGUAAACCCCUUUUGAAGCAAGAAAAGUUAAAGAUAAAAAGUUGUUGCUCGCAAUAUCUUUUGGGUAUUCGCUUGAAUAUAUAUGCAAAUAUAUAUCUAGAUAAAUGAUUAACAUAAACAAAAUUCGGCUUAUUAAAUACC